CACAGCCUGUAAUGCCUUUUCCAUAGCUCUCGUUUGCUUUGCUUUGUUGACUUGAUGUUGUCAAUUCUCCGAAUUGGCUUAUUUGGAUUGCGCGUGUUGGAUUUCCGCCUCACACCGAAAAAUGAGCUUUUAUGUUAAUGCAAACGUCUGGCUUUUGCUGUGGGAAAUAUUGUGCAACUAAAGAUGCAUUUCCGCUAUGCUUUAGUUGUUAUUGCUGAUUACGCAUUAUUAUUAUUUAGCUAGCAAUUGUUAACAUUUGCCAUGUUAACAUAUACAAUACAAUACAUAUGUGUGUGUGUGUGCUGUCAUACAAGUAUAAUUUAUAUUGCUUGGUUUGGGUUGUUUUCAAGUGCACAUGUGCAUUUGUAAUCAAUUGCCCAAACCUAAGUAAAUAUGUUUAGUAUGUAUUUCAUGAGUGCAUGCGUAUCACUUAUUAAUGCAUACUAGGGUGGGUCGAUUCCGGAAUUUUUUCGAUUCGGUAUUUCUAAUAGUGCGGAAAAGUUGCCUUAGUACUUCCUGAUUCCAAUGCAACUUUUUGUUUUGAGAUCGGAUUGCAUCUUCAACCCGAACCUCGGCCUUGAAAUUUCGGAAAUUCGCCUAAAAUCGUGAAAUUGUCUACCUAGCACCUGAAUACGCAUCUCAUGGCAAAAUGUAUAAAACAAAAGUUAUUUGUCACGUCAUUUGCUACCGAAAUGGUAUACAUGAUCAUGGCCGUAGGACGUACCGUUCCCGAGAUACGAGCGAAAAGGCGGCGCGCCACAGCGCAAGGUGAAAAUCGGCUUGCUGCCACACUUCUUGACGUUGAUUUCGCCGAGUGCUCUCACUUACAUUCAUUCACCUACGCCAAAGGACACGUUCGGACUGGUCUCCACAUAAAUAUUUUUUCAUCGAGUUCCUUCACUCUUGUCGGUGAUUUCGCCGAGUUCUAUCACUUACAUUCAUUUCCCUGCGCCAUACGACACGUUCGGACUGGUCUCCACAUAAAUAUUUUUUCAUCGAGUUCCUUCACUCUUGUCGUUGAUUUCGCCAGGUGCUAUCACUUAUAUUCUCUCAACAAAACACAGAACUCAAAAUGUCUGUAUCUAAAUUUAAAUUUAGACAGAAAUGUCCUGUGUUUGGUAUAUAUCCGUACAAUCUCUCUGAGUCCCAGUUACCUACUUACCAGGAUGUUCUUUUGUGUUAUCAGUUGGAAAGAUUUCGUAUUGGGCGACUCCGUGGCGACAACUAUGAACCUAGGAGUAAAGAGGUUACAGAAAUAGUUGCAAAAAAGGUUGAAAAUACUUUCAAAAAGUCAUCUAUUCCGAUAGUUUCACACACCAGAGUUGUACAAAUGCUCACCACAUACCAUAAGAAAUUUCUGACUCUUAAACAAAUGUUUUUAAGGAACCCAAUAGGUUUGAGCUCUGAAAGAGACGACUUUGUCUCUUCUGCCGGAAAAUUAUUUGACAUCGCUGCUUGUAAAUGCAUUUAUUUUUCUUCUUGCACUUGUCCAAAGGAAAGGAAAGUUCCUAUCAACGAACAACCAUUUCUCUUGGAUAAGAGAACCACAAGAAUUGGUCGCAUUGGAAGUGUUGAUCUACCUGAAACAAAAAAGAUUACGAAGAAAAAUGAACGUAAAGAAAAGCUUUCAAAACGUCAUUCAACAUCAACACUUACCAGAAAAGUAUCAGCUAGAACACGUGACCAUUCAGAUCAGCCGGACUCUCAUACAGACGACAACAAUGUAGGCGCGUCGCACAUGAAUUCUUCCAAAAACGAUGCUGUUGAUGAAUUUUCUCUUCCAUCCUCUAAAACCAAACAAAACACACUAGUAUUACAACACACUGCUUUAGCUGCCCAAAGAUUUGGAGUAUGUGAUAGAGCAGCGGCCUUGAUUGUUUCAUCGGCUUUUCUGGAUGCCAAAGAAGCAGGUUUGAUAACAGAGGAUCAGGCUAGCUUUGUCACUGACAAAUGCAAGAUUAGUCGGGCAAAAAAAAGUGUUGGUGUUAAGCUUCAGAACACCGAAAGUAUUGACUCCGUAUAUGGGCUGUAUUUUGACGGCCGCAAAGACAAUACACUUACACAAGUCAGCGAAGGUGAAAAGUACUACCGCGACACUGUCAAAGAGGAACAUACAUAUUUCUCUUAUAGCGGAACCUGGUUGUCAUUACUUUGGCCACGUCACUUCUCCUUCCGGGUAAGCUGAGGAUGAGACGCAAGCUAUAUGGCAACAUUUACAAGACAUCUAGAAGUUGUCGGUGCUGAUGGCACCAACACGAACACAGGUUGGAAAGGUGGAAUCAUUCGGAAACUAGAAGAAAGAAUAGGUAGGCCAUUACAGUGGGUUGUUUGUCUUCUACAUUUCAACGAACUUCCAUUCCGUGCUCUUUUCGAACACAUAGAUGGUGUCUCAAAGAGUCCAAAUAUAUUCUCUGGCGACAUAGAUAAACUGCUCCCUUAUUGUGAGAAGUUGCCUGUUGUCAAAUUUGAAAGUUUUCCAUCCUGCCAAUUACCUUCUGAGGUUAUUAAUCCGACCCAACUUAGCACAGACCAAGCUUAUCUCUAUAAAAUAUCAGAAGCUGUUAUUUCCGGUCAAUGUUCCUCAGAUUUAGCGUCGAUGCAUCCAGGUAACAUGUGCAAAUCUCGCUGGCUCACCUGUGGAAAUAGAAUUCUGAGAUUAUACAUUUCUACUGACAAACCAACAAAGGAAAUAAAGAUUUUGGUCAAGUACAUACUUACAGUUUACUCACCUUUGUGAUUCUCAAUAAGAUUCAACAGUUAAAUCAAAGAUGGCUCGCGCCAUCUCUAUGCUACAAUUCAAAGGUCGAGAUACUUACCUGCUAAACUGCGCAAGGUUGUCGAUUCAUCCAUUCAACAGAAUGUCGGGAGACACUGCAGAGGUAUGGAAAUUUAGUGAAUUCCCCUCUCACACCGUGGCAGUCGAGAGAAUCGUCAAACUGGUGACAGAGGCAUCUUCUAAAGUUAUUGGCCCCCAAUCUCGUGAUCUUUUUAUACGCUCUACACUGAAAUCUAGGCAACAAGUGCCAAGGUUUAGUACAAAAUCUGAUUUUAUCAAUAAAUUUGACACAGAUUCAGACUAAAACAAGCCUGACAUAUGGUUGGUUGGUUGGGUUGGGCUUGGGAGGAACCCGAAGAGCAGCUACCUCCACGCGGUGGAUUCUGGGUGACCAAUACAGGUUAGCUGAGAGCUGAAACAAUUUUGACCUUGCGCUGUGGCGCGCCGCCUUUUCGCUCGUAUCUCGGGAACGGUUCGUCCUACGGCCAUGAUCACAUAUACCAUUUCGGUAGCAAAUGACUUGACAAAUAACUUUUGUUUUAUACAUUUUGCCAUGAGAUGCGUAUUUCAGGGGCUAGGUAGACAAUUUCACGAUUUUAGGCGAAUUUCCGAAAUUUCAAGGCCGAGGUUCGGGUUGAAGAUGCAAUCCGAUCUCAAAACAAAAAGUUGCAUUGGAAUCAGGAAGUACUAAGGCAACUUUUCCGCACUAUUAGAAAUACCGAAUCAGAAAAAGUCCGGAAUCGACCCACCCUAAUGCAUAUGUGCCUCAUAUAUGUUUGUAUGCUGCAUAUCAAUGCAUAUAUUUUUAUGUGUUUAUUUGUACGUAUGUUCAAUAUAUUUGAACAGAGAUAUCUAUUAGUAGUGGACUGUAUGAUUACAAUAGCUAGAUUAUUUCUUAUCGUAUUUAACAUUGAAAUAUAUAUUUAAAUAUAAUAUUGUUGUCCGUGCUUUGGCAGCAACGAACAUGUUUAAUUUUGAACAGGAAUCAUAAGGUCUAUGUAGGAAAAAAAGAAAAAGGAAACAGAAGAGAGCUAGAAUUUCAACUCGUAUGAGCAGUCAGUUGAAGCUGAGUGUCACCAAUUGAGUACUAGUUCAAAAGAGAGUAAAAGCUAAGCGUAUUUAUUCAGAGUCAAUUUCUAUUUGUUCAGUAUGUUCAGUAGAGUAUUGAUUAUCGUUGGAAAUUCUUGUUGUUGGAAAGAGAUUUUCGUGAUUAGGUGGAUUAGAUUGCACAGUAGUGUUGGUAGUAGUAUUUUUGAAGUCAGUAUAUUUAUUAAGCGAGUUUAAGGAGUUGUUUAAGUUAGAAGUGAAAGAGGCUGUUGUUGGACUGAAAAGUUUGGGAUUUAAGAAAGAGUCUUGUUGGGUACAGUUGUAGCUGAUAUUUUUUGCUGAAUGUGAGACGUUGUUGUAGUCCAGUGGUCGGCAUGAGAGGAUCUGUCACUGAGUUGGUGAGCACGAAAAAAUAGUAGCCCAGUGAGAAAUUGGAAUUAAAAUUAAGCAAUUUUUAUUAUUAAUUAAUAGUAUAAUGAAAAUUAACAAAUUGUCUUUUGAGGAUAUAUUCCCUAUUAUCUUUAAAAGACUUGGAACAUAAAGGCAUUGCAUGGCAUCAAAGGCAUUUAGAAUCAUAAAAUAUUUCUCGCAGGGCAUAUUUCGUUUUGCGCUAUGGUCUUGCGUAAUGUCAAUAGUAGAAACACUCAAAAACGCUUCCUUCCUUCCUUCCUUUUCCUUCCUUAUCGGCAAAAUGAGUGCACAGUGGAGAACGUGUCAAGAACGUAGAAAUCAGCUGUUCUCUUUUGUUUACAUUUCAUUUGUUUGACAUUUCAUACAAUUCAACAAAAAUUGUGUAAGCAGCAACAUGGAAGUGGAGAAUAUUGAUCAAAUGCUUUUAGAAUUGUACGAAUUGUACUCUUUAUAUAAUUUAUAUAAACAGUAUAAAAACAAAAAACGAAAGAGAAGGUACAAAAUUCGCCCAAUCAAUCAAAACUGGGGCGUUUGCGGUUACCAGAUAAAAACUUUUCUGGUAAUGAAAAAUAGGGAACCAGAACAAUUUUUUUUGCAUACAAGGAUGCCGCCGGACGUUUAUGAUUUGCUUCUGAAUUUGAUAUCGAAAUCCUUGAAGAAGCCAAGGCAGCGGAUUGGACCCGAGGAAAGGCUCUCGUUGGUAUUACUCUAUUCGUCACAAGGCGUGUCGGUGCAGAGCAUUGCAUGGAGCUAUAAGUUAGGAAAGACAACAGUACGCGAAAUCAUAUUAGAGACGUGUGAAGUAAUCUGGCAGCUACUUUCCCCAAUUUAUGUAAGCGAGCCAACAGAGUCUCAAUACAAGGACAUUGCAAAAGAUUUUUAUAAUAUGUGGAACAUUCCGAAUUGUGUCGGUGCAAUUGAUAGUAAGCACGUUGCUAUUAAGUGCCCGGCCAAUUCCAAUUCGAUGUUUUACAAUUAUAAAAAAUUCUUUAGCAUUGUUUUGAUGGCUGUAUGUGAUGCGAAAUAUACGUUCACAGCAGUUAGUAUUGGCAGCUAUGGAAGUCAAAGUGACGGAGGAAUCUUUCGACUUACUCCAUUUGGCCAUGCAUUAAUACAAAACACUCUGCCUUUGCCACCACCGCCACUGUCUGACGUGUCACCGGAACCUUUUCCUUACUUUUUUGUUGGAGAUGCCGCAUUCCCAUUACGAAAUAAUUUAAUGCGCCCAUUUCCUGGAGCUAAUCUAACACACACGAAACGUAUUUUCAAUUAUCGAUUGUCACGCGCUCGUAGAGUCAUAGAAAAUUCCUUUGGUAUAUUGACUGCUCGGUGGAGAAUUUUGAAAACAACGAUUGAAUGUAAUCCAGAAAAUUGUGUUGGCUUGCAUAGCCUUACACAAUUUUAUAAUGUUGAAUGAUCACAAUCGCUGGUAUUGUCCGGAGAACAUUGAGUUGAAGGACAUAACGUUGUUCAUGCCGGUGAGUGGCGCCGCGAAAAUGAAAACAAUUCUUUACGACCAAUGCGAACUUCAGUGCGUAGAGGUCCUUCAAGUGCGUUUAAUUUACGCGAAAGACUUGCUAACUAUUUUAUAAAUGAAGGAUCUGUACCAUUCCAGAACAAUAUAGACUCUAUCACAGGAGGACCAUAUGCUCCUGGAGAACCUUAUUAAAAAUAAUCACCUUUUUUUAAAUUUAUGAGAUUAUUUAUUUCAUUUCAUUCAUUUUUUUAAUUAAUAACAAUUCAUUUCAUUUUUUUCAUUUUUUCAUUAAUAACAAUGUUUAAACUUAUUUACUAAUGGACUAAUGGAUAACGAAAAUAAACACAUAAAUAAAUAUAAAA